rnacentral:rRNA from 1 species
CUCAGGAUGAACGCUAGCGGCAGGCUUAACACAUGCAAGUCGAGGGGUAACGGGAGUGCUUGCACUCGCCGACGACCGGCGCACGGGUGCGUAACGCGUAUAGAACCUACCUUUUACAGAGGGAUAGCCUUUAGAAAUGAAGAUUAAUACCUCAUAGGAUUAAAGAUUGGCAUCAAUCAUUAAUUAAAGAUUUAUCGGUAAAAGAUGGCUAUGCGUCCUAUUAGUUAGAUGGUAAGGUAACGGCUUACCAUGGCUUUGAUAGGUAGGGGUCCUGAGAGGGAGCUCCCCCACACUGGUACUGAGACACGGACCAGACUCCUACGGGAGGCAGCAGUGAGGAAUAUUGGUCAAUGGAGGCAACUCUGAACCAGCCAUGCCGCGUGCAGGAAGACUGCCCUAUGGGUUGUAAACUGCUUUUAUACAGGAAGAAAGCUUUUACGAGUUAGAGGUUUGACGGUACUGUAGGAAUAAGCACCGGCUAACUCCGUGCCAGCAGCCGAGUU